rnacentral:rRNA from 1 species
CACGUAGGAGGCGAGCGUUGUCCGGAAUCAUUGGGCGUAAAGAGCGCGCAGGCGGUCGAUCAAGUCGAGUGUGAAGCCCCCGGCUCAACUGGGGAGGGUCAUUCGAAACUGGUCGACUCGAAGGCAGGAGAGGGUAGUGGAAUUCCCGGUGUAGUGGUGAAAUGCGUAGAUAUCGGGAGGAACACCAGUGGCGAAGGCGACUACCUGGCCUGUUCUUGACGCUGAGGCGCGAAAGCUAGGGGAGCAAACGGG